UUGCCUAUGGAUUUAGCCAUCUCGUACUCUGAAAGAGGGCUAGAGUGGCUGUGUUGACCUGGUUGCUGGCCCCUUUUCAUGGAACUGCGGUUUGGAGGUGGAAAGUCCAAGGCAGCUACCAUUUUUCCCACUCGUCGAUUCCCCAUGGAGGUGUUCUGCAGGGCUAACUGAAAGUUCCAGUUGAUACUGGCAGGAUUAGGGCCUGGUUUGUUAAAGCUCCUGGCAUGGCUCAGGUCUAGGACGAAGGUCUGUUUUA